CGUGUCUGCCUCACACCAUGACGUGCAGCCCCAGUCUGUCCCAGCUGGCACGCGUUGAACCGGCAUAAAGACCCCGCCUCAGCCUUCACUUGAAAGAUACACUCAUGGUGAAUGAACCUAAGAGACACUAAAAUUAAGCAACUAGAGCCGCACUGGGCCGUCACAACGCCCACAGUCACAAUAUAUGUAGGUGCAUUUUGUAAGUGCAAACACAAAAGACGAUAUCACGAUUAUUUAAAUGAGUGAGGUCAUGUUCAUUUAUUGAACGAUAAGUCGAUAAUGUAGUUAUUGUGGCAGUUAUUAGGUUCACUUCUACACCAGUGGGAGUAGAAUAGGGUUAGUCCAGAUCUUUUUUCAUCAUCAGUUUCAUCAGUAGAACUGAUAGUAGUGGUUUCCUCUUUAAAUUGUUUCUGUUUCUUUUCUUCCUUGCCUCUGAAUCCCCUGCUGUCAGGGUGCCAUUCUGACCACCUUGCUAGUCACAAGAAACUUCUCGGCCAAGAGUUUGCUGAACAAGAAGACGGAUGGAGUGAAGGUCAACAACAAAACCAACAUAGCCAGCAGCCCCAAAGACACAGGCCCCGCCCCAGCACUGGAGCCUCAGACUACAGUGAUCCAUAACCCUGUGGAGCGGAACAAGGAGUCAACAGAGAGUGCCAACACCACAAUAGAGGAGGAGGACAUGAAAGCCUGCCACGUUAUGAGUAAAGCACGAAAGCAGGAGAUCAUCAAAGUUACUGAGCAGCUCAUCGAGUCUAUCAACAAUGGGGACUUUGAAGCUUAUUCUAAAAUCUGUGACCCCGGUCUGACGUCCUUUGAGCCUGAAGCCCUGGGGAACCUGGUGGAAGGUCAUGAUUUCCACCGGUUCUACUUUGAAAACGGUACCCAAUACAUUACAUCAUACAUGCUCAUGUUCUACUAA
rnacentral:lncRNA from 1 species